rnacentral:rRNA from 1 species
UUAGUGUGGUAAACGACGCCGGCAGGAGGAACCCAAGCCGUGCACUGAAAAACACGCUUGGCAAGCGAAAGAGGGAAGGGAACAGCGAGCCUUGAACCCUUAGGCCUUCGAUAAGAUCUCUUUAGCCCUUAGGGGACGAGCAGCCGGGGCGUCAGAGCGAGGCAGGAGGGCGCUGGAGGAUGGGGGUAGGCGGGUUCCUUCGCUCUAACGAUGAGGCCGGGGUUCACUUCUAGGUAGGCCGGCAUCAAGGAAGAAAACAACAACUGUCGUUACCUAUAUCUACUACACUAGACGUUGAACGCACAACAACCGUACGGUUGGUUCUCACGAUAUAUGUGUACCCCUAUAUUGGUCUCACCGGUCUGACGUGCGUUCCCGUUCCUCGCGGUGGACUCCUAGGGGUUCUCGGAUGGAGGGUUUGAUAAGUGGACAUCCCUACCGCUCUUGGAGUCUACCUAACUAUAACGUACACCGGCACGCGUGUGACGACGUCAUCAAAGACUGCCUAGUGAGAAGUGGACCCCACGUUUACUGAAACCGGUCAACCCUCUACCCUGUCUCCUCUCACGUUUCCUUGGAUUUUUCCAGUUACGUGACCGCUGACUCAAACACUUUAGCCACAGGACACCACGUGUGACAUGUCGACGAUAACGACUUGGAGCUCUUUUACUACCGAGUUAUAGCUCUUCGUCCAAUACCCAAACCCCUGUUUUAGUCCCGAGUCUAAUGGGAGCGGAUAUGACCCCACGAAAACGUGGUUUGUGCCAUUAAGCCGUCCAAAGAACACCUCGACAAGUACACCACCGGGAUAGCCUACUACCGGACGACGUUCGUACCCCGAUGUUACUCAUACCAGUCGAACCGUCUCCAACAUGAAGACUUCCUAACGUCCCUCGAGCACAUAAUUUACGAAUACGUUCCAAGGAACUACUGUGUGGGCUCGAUCACUUCUAACAAUCUCAUAGUACACCUCUCAUGGUACGUCGUCGAUAUAGUCUUUUGCCCCUCCACAUUCAGUAGAGUUUCCUACGACAAGAGACGACAAUCACCUUCACCACACCAAAGAAGUCAACCGUUUUACCUUCUCGAACUAAAUACUACUCGAUUGGUACUGAUUGUCGACACUUCGUUUGUAACGUGUUACCAAUAGAAAAUCGAAUCACAGUACACUAGAUUAUUCACCGUAGCUAUGCCAGUUUUCGUCAAAACGAUAAUGAAUUUAGUGACGUGAAGAGGUGUAGAAUUUCGUUUUAUUUACACAGUGUAUGAAAUACCGAUCUUCGACGUUUCAUAUUGUAGUACUGAACAGAUAACCAAAUGACUUAAGACACACUUGAUAGAACCUAAAAUAGAACAUGGGGGGGGCAAAGGUUUAUCUAUAUCAAAUUAUUUGGUACGAACCUUACGAAAUCUAAAAAGUAUACUUUUUCCGUUGUCAUGAACAGUAUUUUUUAAUGAGUUUAUAUUAAAGAUAUUGAAGACGACUAUAUAUAACCUUUCUUCAUUACCAUUUUCACGCACGACCUCAUACAAAAUUAAUAUUUACCGUAGUAAACCUCUGUAACGUCAUGUCCAACCUCGUACAAGAAAACUUUCGGAAGUACACUUCAGUCAGACAACAUUGUCGAAGACUAGAAGUCGGAAAGUAGAACAUCCGGGUAAAUAAAGAUCAACAUUUAUGGAAACCAAAAACGUCCAUAUGUACCCCUGAACCUUCGGACCCCGUCGAACCCGUAGCAAGUGAAGUCAGACCUCUAUUCCUCGACUAGGGUUCCGCUCAACAACGGGAACUUCCCUAUCAUUGAUCCCUACACAGAACACCACCCCAAGUGAGAACACGACAUUGCCUUCCACCUCGGGAGAUGCCAACCCCACCUCCUGUACACCCGGUUGACCCCGAACCUGGAGUCUUGCCAAAGAAAAGUACGCGAGAAUUACCUAGGCUGUACGAUGAAGCAUUGUAAGGUCAGGACCAGUAUGGUAGUCCACAGGCCGAACAAUGAACACCAGUGAGCGUGUGUGAACAUAGAUACUUUCUACCUGCAUAUAUACCUACCCCGAUAUUAUCAAUACCAGUCCGUCGAUUACUCUUUAGAUGAAUACGAACCAUGGGAAGAGGCCAACUAACCACACAACCUCUCCACUCUUCUGAACGACGUCCACCGCCCGUAAGUCGACACAAUUGACUACGUAGCAGGAAUUUUCUUGAUACGCUCAAAUUCGAUCGUCUCUGACAUUUAUCCAGCUUGCGAGCCGAUUAUCUUCUACAACGUAGUGCUUGGCCCCGACUACGUAACCGUGCGGACACACUCUUUAAUUCCCUUGUAAACCAACUCGUUCCUCUGAGACUUGAAUACCUUUACGUGUACCAACUUCUCUAGCUCCGGUUUCGGUCCAUCUGAGCAUCACUUAUCUACACCAGGACCAAGGUAAACGGUAUGUGUAACUAAGUUCGUAACCGCGACAACAUAAUAAAGUGCCCUUCAUCGUUAACAAAAGACGAACGGACUUUGGAGUAACCACCAGAGGGUUCACACAUUGUUUCCUCACUUCCGAGGCACAUAGUACUUGAAGGUUCGGAUUUGUACAUAUGCAACCCUUGACGUACUUUGAUAUGGACGUUUGAUCUUCCAGCCAUUUAAGCUAUUCGGCGUGUUGAAGCACGAAAUAACAAGUUGUUGAAGCACGAAAUAACAAGUUUACAAUCCUAUACCGCCAACAAGCAAAAGUUCACCACUAUUGACACCAUGACAGAGGCUACCGAACUAGCUCUCGUAGAAGCCCUGCCACAUGAACUUCGUAACAGAAUUCAAACAGCUGAUUAUGGGUAAGUACCCGAGGUUCUGG